rfam:Myotis davidii contig89923, whole genome shotgun sequence.
GGUGGUCCUCGGGUGAUGCACCCUGGAAUUGGGCUCCUUCCUUUCUGGUUCCAGAUGUGUCACUUGAGAACUGCA